rnacentral:rRNA from 1 species
GAUGAACGCUGGCGGCGUGCCUAAUACAUGCAAGUCGAACGGGGAGUCGCAAUACUCUUAGUGGCGAACGGGUGAGUAACGCGUUGGUACCUGCCCCGAAGCGGGGGAUAACGGACCGAAAGGUCCGCUAAUACCCCAUGUGCUCGGUAACGAGUAAAGGUGAAAACCACUUUGGGAGGGGCCUGCGUCCCAUCAGCUAGUUGGUAAGGUAACGGCUUACCAAGGCGAUGACGGGUAGGGGACCUGAGAGGGUGGCCCCCCACAAUGGAACUGAAACACGGUCCAUACACCUACGGGUGGCAGCAGUAGGGAAUAUUGGUAAUGGGCGCAAGCCUGAACCAGCAACGCCGCGUGUGCGAUGACGGCCUUCGGGUUGGAAAGCACUUUUGACUGGGACGAGGAAGGACGGUACCGGUCGAAUCAGCCUCGGCUAACUACGUG